UGGGGAAUUUUGGACAAUGGGCGAAAGCCUGAUCCAGCCAUGCCGCGUGCAGGAUGAAGGCCUUCGGGUUGUAAACUGCUUUUGUACGGAACGAAAAGACUCCUUCUAAUAAAGGGAGUCCAUGACGGUACCGUAAGAAUAAGCACCGGCUAACUACGUGCCAGCAGCCGCGGUAAUACGUAGGGUGCGAGCGUUAAUCGGAAUUACUGGGCGUAAAGCGUGCGCAGGCGGUUAUAUAAGACAGAUGUGAAAUCCCCGGGCUCAACCUGGGAACUGCAUUUGUGACUGUAUAGCUAGAGUACGGCAGAGGGGGAUGGAAUUCCGCGUGUAGCAGUGAAAUGCGUAGAUAUGCGGAGGAACACCGAUGGCGAAGGCAAUCCCCUGGGCCUGUACUGACUCUCAUGCACGAAAGCGUGGGGAGCAAACAGG
rnacentral:rRNA from 1 species